rnacentral:lncRNA from 1 species
GGGUGGUACCCAAAGGUAGGGCCUCCCCAUUGUCUAGUGUCCUCAGGGCUCCCCAGCCGGCGAGGCUGGGCAGCAGCGCCCCCGCUGGUCCCGAGAGAAGGAAGGGCGUCCUCCUCUGCUCCCAGCGGCGCUCCCGGCUCCUCUCCUCCCUGCGGACUGGGAAGCCUCGGUAACAGCUGUAACUGCUCGGGGAAAGGAGCGCUUCCCCGGUCGGGCUCUGCGCGCGCACUGUACCUGUCCGGGAUUGUCACAUCCAGGGCUCAAACAGCCUUAAGAGGCCGACGCGGUUAUUGUCUCCAUUUCACCACGGGGGAAACUGAGGCUCCCGGAGGUCAGGUUCCUCAUCCCACACCACGCAGAGAGGGCACGGCGGGACGUGGGGCCGGCGGCUCUGCUUGUCCCCAGCCUCCGCCUGGUGGCCAGCAACCCGCCCCAAUCACUGCGACGUGUGCGCGCCUGCUCCCAGCACGUGUGCGCGCCCGAGACCCGCCCCGGGAAGCCAGGAGCGCGGUUGGGGUCGUGGGGGCGGAAAAGGGUGGCCAGGGCGGACCCGCGGGGCGGGCGAGAGGGCGGACCUUUGGCCGGGCCCCCGCCCCGCCUUCCAGCCCCGCCCGCCGGGCUGCAGAGGGAGGCGGCGGCGGCUCUGGGCGCCGGGAGUCGGCGGGCGGCGAGGAGCGCGGAGCCGGAGCUGGACGCCGCCGCCGCCACCGCCACCACCACCUGCGCGGCCGUCAUCAAGGUAGGGCGGCCCCGCGCCGCCGGCCGUGGCUUCCCGGUCUGCGCGAUGGGGACGUCGGGCGGGACGUGCGCACUGAGCCCCCCGCGGCUUCAGCUCUCGGAGAGGGAGGGAUGCGGGGCUCGGCGCGCGGGGGACCUGGCUUUCAGCCCCUUUGCGUGACCUUGCACAAAGCACUGCUCCUCUUCAGGCCUCAGUUUCCCCGUCAGGAUAGCGGGCUCAUUGGUGGCCCCCUUCUCUCGGGGUUGUUGGGAGGGGCCGCCCCGAGGUCCGGGCUCCCGACGGCUCGCUGCCCGCAUGAGUACUGUCUGCACCUCCCACCCCUCCAGCCCGCGGUGAGGGAAGCGCACUCUGGGCGCGGCCAGCCGGUCCCUACAGGCCCCUGCUGUGGCCCGGGUGCUCCAUGGGACUCUUGUCGGGACCCUCCCCCUCUUGGCUGCGUUACCUGCUGGGCCUCAGCUUCCUGGUACAGGAAACGGUGGGGUGGGGGGCAUCCCCGGGUCCCCGCCAAGCCGGCCUGGGCGUGCAGGUGGGGCAUCAGCCGGCCCACCAAGAGGGUUUACUCGUCUGGGGCUGGAGGAGCCCUAGGUUGGAGGUGGCUGGACUCCUGGCGGCACGACUGCCUGGACCAGCCCCACGUAGGCACCUCGAUUUACAGAGUGGUACAGGACAGCUCCUUCCCCUUCCCCACCCGGGCCAGGUGCUGGUGCCUAGCUCUGUGUCCCAGAGCUAGUGUGUGA